UCUUCUUCUUUUCCAUACCGUCCGUCCCCCUUUUUUCGUGAAAACCCUAAUUGCCGAAACCAGCAUCCGCUUUUCGUCCAAACCCUACUGCCGCCGCACCCUUCGAGCCGCUCAGUGCCACCUCCCAGCUGAUCUCCUCCGCGCGUCUCGCCGAACGAUUUCGUCUGCGAGCAACGCGUGCCACCAGCAGCCCCAAUUGCGCGAUCUCUCCCUUCUCAGUCGCGUGUCCGCGCCUCUCCUGGUCGUCGACUCUUCGCGUCGGAGUUUUGCACGCCUCUGCUCACAUCGCUCGGUCUUCGUCGACUCUCAGCCGUUCGCGGGUUUUAGAUCUAAGGUCGUGCGCGUCCUUCGUCAUUCGUGGGUUUGGUACCAUUGCCAGAUCUGUCCAGUCGUCCGCCGUCGCUUCUUUGUCCGACACCGCCCAACCCUAUCGCCGUCGCGGUUGCCGUCAGAUCUGUUUUGGAAGUGAGAUUCAGAAGAUUUUGGGGACGUUGCUCAUCGAGAAAGAGACUGAUUUUCGACAGGAAUUGGUAAGUUUGGGUGAGUAGUUGGGCUGGAUGUCUAUUUGGUUAAGGGUACUUAUGAAAAAUUAAGUUACUUUGGGACUAAAAUUAUGUUCAGAUUGGCCUUUUGGGUUUGAGUUUUAAAAUCUGCUAAGAGGAGAUUUUGGAGUCGAAAUCUUGCGAGUUUCGUUUGGGGGACUUAAUUCAAGAUUUAUUUUGUUGGAGAUCAUUAGCUUGGAUUAAUAUCUGAAUUUGACUUCGAGUUAAGUAAUCUUACUAUUGGAACUGUCCACGGGCCAGACACUUGAUGGAUGAAUGUUAUGGUAGAAUGACAACAUGAUGAACUGAGAGUUUAGUAGAACCGAUGUAUGUUCUUGCUUGAGGAUUUGAAAGAUGUAUUUAUGCACAUAGAUACUUGAAUGCUAGCAUUGUUGACUCGUAGGUAUGUAUGAUAUUAAAUGCUCAAAAGGAUGCGAUACUACUCCUAUUUAUGCGUCAAUUAGGAAUAUUCAUGUAGUAUGCUCUACGUUGUCACAAGUUUCCUUACGAUGGAGCCAAGUGUAAUUCCACCGCAAGUUUCUCGGUAUGAUCCGAGAUCGAACACGGGGAAAUGGUUUUCAGUUAUUGCGGUAUGUUCAUGGUAUAUGCGACCAAGUUUCCAAUUCUUUAUAAAGAAGUUUGUACAGGUAUGUAAAUUGCGGUAAAAUAAAGGAAAGCAGUAAAGAUGAGAUAAA